UAGUGUGGUGGUUGCUGUUUGUGGCAGAUCUCUAAGUGUAUCAGAUCUGUAUCAGAACUACCACAGACAUCACAAAGGAGAAGGCUAUGCUGAGAACUUCAAGCUUUCAGUUUUCAGCUCCCUGUCCAGCUCCUACAGGA
rnacentral:snoRNA from 1 species